GACGAACGCUGGCGGCGUGCUUAACACAUGCAAGUCGAACGGAAAGGCCCUGCUUUUGUGGGGUGCUCGAGUGGCGAACGGGUGAGUAACACGUGAGUAACCUGCCCUUGACUUUGGGAUAACUUCAGGAAACUGGGGCUAAUACCGGAUAGGAGCUCCUGCUGCAUGGUGGGGGUUGGAAAGUUUCGGCGGUUGGGGAUGGACUCGCGGCUUAUCAGCUUGUUGGUGGGGUAGUGGCUUACCAAGGCUUUGACGGGUAGCCGGCCUGUGAGGGUGACCGGCGACAUUGGGACUGAGAUACGGCCCAGACUCCUACGGGGGGCAGCAGUGGAGAAUAUUGCACAAUGGGCGGAAGCCUGAUGCAGCAACGCCGCGUGCGGGAUGACGGCCUUCGGGUUGUAAACCGCUUUCGCCUGUGACGAAGCGUGAGUGACGGUAAUGGGUAAAGAAGCACCGGCUAACUACGUG
rnacentral:rRNA from 1 species